rnacentral:lncRNA from 1 species
CGGUUGAAUAACUUUAAAAAAGGAUAUGAUGAUAUAUAUUAACAAUGUAUACAAGACAAUUUCCCCUCUAUCGUAUUUUUGUACUAUAAACAUGUGUGUUUGUUCAGCAGCUGCAUGAGAAGAACUCCGAACUCUGAACUCCAAACUGUAUUUGCAAAUGAGUAGAAUCUAAGCAAGAAGAAUUUUCACGAACUCCGAAAAUCUUCAGGCCGUUGCAAGCACUCCUGGGGAUUGGCAUAGAAAUAGUCUUCUUCCUUGGGUCGAUCAGGAAUCACCACUCGCCUCGAAGGCAUUCCCAUGCGAUCCGAAUGGGCCGCCUUUAUCGAAGAGGAGAAUUCACCCCACCGCAAGGUGUCACUGUUGUAGCGGUCGACGAGCUCAACAAUAAGUUUUCGAUUCAAUAGGAUUGUCUUCCUGAAGCCUAAGCAUCUGCGAUGGCCUUCGACAACUUUUGCCAUGUUCCCGUCGUACGUUGGAACAAAUACAUCGCUUUCUAGCGAUACUAAAUAAUCCAAAGCCGCCAUUUGAGAUGAAUGGUUCUGGAAUAAUCUAAGAUCUGAAGGCUCCAGGAUUGUUUCCUUCCUGACCUGCAUAGAAUUGCUGAACAAAUCAGACAAAAUUAUAUACAAAGAUUGGAAAAAGGGGGAGAGGAUGGAAGUUUAAUAGAUAAACCAUAUCUUGUAUUGCAGACACACCACAUCAGGAUAAGCUGCAGUAAGUGCAGCCAUUCUCUUCUGCUUGCUGUAUAUUUCUCCCGCUGCGAUGUAUAUUUGGACGCUGCGAUCAAUAUCGAGUGCCCUCAGAACAAGAGCAGUCUUUUCUGGUGUCAAAGGACAGAGACCUUCUUUCCUCUUCAAAUAGGAGUUGAUAACUUUCUCUUUCCACCAUGGAUAAGCAUAUCUGAAAGCCAUUCCCACGGUUUCACAUUAAGCCAACAUGAACUCAGGAUUCAAAGGCUAGAAACUCGCACACGACCAUUUCAGUAAAACAACCAUUUUAAUCCUCUUAUGCGAUUCGUAAAUAAGUGUCUUAAGAGUCACAGUUUUCACAAAACUACAGAGAUGUCAAGCAUCUUAGGCAAUCACAAUAAAGGGUAAAAUGAAAGGGAAACUGAUCAGCCAUACCUCAUUCUCGUAAGCUCUUCUGCUUCUUCGUCCGUGCAACCUUGGGUACAGCCGGAAAAGGCCAACAUGUCCAUUUCAUAGCGUAAGUGAAGAACCAAAAAAGGGCCAUUUUGACGGAGAAUUUUGAUCACCUGUUUGCCCAAUUCUUCGAUUUGAGAGGUAAAUUUCAGAUUGGCAUAAUUCACUCGACAUCGCAUCUUAUGAAUCUCUAUAGGAAGGCCAUUAUUAGCAAGCCGGGCGUCGGUUCUAUUCAAAUGUAUGCUUCCGAAUCAAAGAAAGAAUCUGUUUUCAAAUUAAACUGAAUCUUAGCACUGUUACUAAUAGAGAAAUGAUCAAAAUCAUUUAACGCUUGAAAAAGACAUAAGAAAACCUGAUUUUGGUAAUAGGAAAUAUCAGACCAACAAACAGGUGGCAUGGAAUAAACCAUCCCUAGUUCCACCCUUCUUUUUAGCCUUGGCGGAAGGUGCUUUAAUAUUUGGACCUCGUCUCUUAAUGAAUUUAUAUAAUGAUCCACAUCAAAUAUGUCUUGAAAAUCACUACAACAUUAAAGAAAGUUGAAAAAAAUAAAAUUUCUUAAUCUUAAAGAAGAGAAGAAAAGUGGAAGCUAAUGGAAAGAAAAUUUUGCUUUAAAAAGACAAGCACACCUGGUAUCAGCCCAAAACGAGGUCUUAUCAAGUUCUGGUACUAUUAGAGUCACAUUCAAGUAUCUUGCAACAGUAACCAUAUCACAUAUCUAAGGAAAUAGAGUGAUACCCAAGAAGAGUCGCAGCAUAAGAGGUUAUCAGAAUUGCAUUUUCACUAUGAUAAGACCAAAAUUCUAAAGCAAAAGCAAAUAAAUAUAGUUAGAAAGUCACAAGUCUAAACAGAUGCUUACAGCUGCUCGCAUCUGAUUAAGCCCCCCGUUGCAUGAGACCAUUAGAUAACCACUAUUCUUGUAGAUCCCUAACGAGAACAUAUGUAGUAUCGAAUGUGAGAUGCAUGAUAUACAAAUGUAACAAGUAAUAUUUUAUUAGACAAUAAUAACACUAGAAGUGGAUUAAUUAAAAGGCCACCAAACAGCUAAAGGAAAACUUUCAAAACAAUAUCUGAAUGAAGAACAAUAUUAAAAUGAUUUUAAGUUGGUGGAUACAAUGAACAGAGAUUGGAUAAUAGAAUUCACAAAUUGUUGAUUCAUAAAGUGAGAGAUUUACAAAAUAAUAGGGUAAAUGUCCAAAUGGCUCCGCAGGAAUGGUCCUUAAUGUUAAGACAACCUCGAUAACAUGGCCAAACAACAAAAUCAUAAAAGCAAAGCAAUAAGCGGAAUCCGUAAUGAUAAAGACAUACCAGCUAAUAACAUAUAACGCAACCAAAAGCAACCUAAAGUUAGGAGAAUUAAUUAAACCAAUAUAAUUAUAUAAGGUGCCCUAAUUGCUUACAGAAGUGAUCAAAAGAACACCCGAAUGAAAAAAGCCAAAAUUGACAUCCUAAUUCUGAGGCCACACUUUCUGGAGAGUCAUUCAUUUUAGGACUAUUCUAACUCUAACACGCUUAACUCUCUUAAUUUUUUGGACUAACCACCGCCCAAAAUUUUAUAGUUAGGUUAAGAGAUUUAACUCUAUUAUAUCUUACAUAAAGGACAAUUCUAAAUCCCGGAGUCUUAUAUUAAUAAUAACAGAAAAUUAAGCAAACAAACAAACGGAAGCAACAAUGCAAGUUUUCUUCUUGCAUAUUGAAAGGUGGAGUUCUCACUUUUCGGGGGGAGGACGACGAGCUUGUCUGCCACCGAAGAUGGGGAGGUGUAGCGCAAGAGGACCAUCCUUUGAGGACUGCUGGCCCCCAAAUCCCCACGACCGCCGUUAGCUGGACGAUGCAUGUCCACAGAAGAGCAGCGACGGCGGCGCACACCAUCCACAUCUUCAUAUGCGAUCUUGACAGGACUGCUGCUGCUGCCGCUGCGGCAGCAGAAACCUAUAAACUUCUUCUUGCAGUCGGUAAUAUAAGAUAGCGAGAAAGAAAAAAAAACCGACGCUUUGUGACGAAGUAGCGACUGCUAAUGUUGUUGCUGCUGCAGCCAGCAGUAGAAGCAACUGUGUUCUUUACGGCUACAGCUGAUUCUCCAGGUACCAAAAAUUUUUUCUCGCCCCGCCAAUGCUGCCCCUGCAUCUGGACUAUUGCAUCAUGUUCAACGCCAUUGCAAAGCCGUAGGAGCUGUGUGGGGGCUCCGUAUCAUGUUAGUAACACUAAUUCCUAUUAAAAUUUUCUUCCAAAACUGCACUUUUUUCCCUGUAUGUCGCUAAAUAUAUGAUGUAUAUUUUCAUUAUCAUUAACCAUCUUAAACUAGCUAGCUUAACUAGAUGGGUAUGUGUUGAUGUGUUGUUUUUUGAUGACUAAACUAGCUAAGUACAUAUCUAGCUAGCAAGCUAUGUAUAUGUUUUUGUAUCGUUGUUCUCUAUGACUAAUUUUAUGAAACUGUACCGUAUCAGCAUAAUAACAACUCUAUUUUUUUCGGCUUUCAGUAUUUACAAAUUAACAAAAAUAAUUUACAUUUAUAGUUAAAAAUUCUUUCUUUUUUCUUAUUUGCAAGUUGACUCACAUAUACAAAACAAAAGUGUAAAAAAAGAAAAAAGAAAAAAAAAAGAAUUGAGGAUAAACAAGAAGAGGAUGAUACCUGAGCUCGAGUAAAGUACUAUAUAUAAAAAGAUAAUCACAAAGGAGCAAAUCCUUAGGAUAAUAAACAAGACCAAAUUAUCAUCAAUUCACCCCUAAAUAGAUGCCAAUUCUCCUAAAAAUAGUCAGAUAUUAUCAGCAAAAUAUUAUUAGCAAAAAUACGAGUUUUACAUCAGAUGGUACAACAAGGUAAUUUAGUUUUGUAACCAAGUCACCACCAAAUACCACCAGAAAAAAUAAAGAAGGGAAAAAUUAUGCCCCAAUCCACAUUCCCGUUCCCACCCAAAUCCCCCAAUCGGAACCGUGGAAUGCCAAAAAUUAACACCUAUUUUGCGAGAGGAGGAGAGGAGGACGAAGAAGAAGUAGAAGUAGUGAGGGGGAGGGGGAGGGGGACGGGGCAGGGGUGAUAGAGGAGGUGGCAGUCAGAGGACCUGGCGAUCGGCGGCGUCGGCGACGAGGGGCAACCUGGGGAUUUCGCCGAGGAGGCAGGCGGUGGAGCCGUAGACGAGGGAGACGAGCAAGAAGAAGAAGACGGUGCUGUCGACGCUCUGCAGGAUCUCGUAGCCGACCCCGUCGCUGGGGGCGAAGGACCGCUCGAGGAGGUCGGGGAAGAUGAGGAGGACGUCGAGGACGAUGGCCUGCAUCGUGUUGAACCGGACGUAGCGGCUGAAGCGGGAGGGGUUGCGCACCACCGCGAAGUAGAGGGUGAGGAAGAGGAGGAAGGGGGUGACCGGGGAAGAGCGGAAGAGCCGGAUCGCGGGGACGAGGGGCUGGAUUAGGGUUUGGAAGAAGGGGAACUGCGCGAGGACGAAGCGCCCGUACUGGACCCCGUCGAGGAAAGGGUAGAGAUAGCACGCGGCGGAGAGCACGCGAUCGGGGGGAUCGGCGGAGUCGCCGUUCUUCGCCGCCGCGGCGGAGGAGGGGCGGCGCCGCCUCUCCUCCAGCCGCAGGAGAAGAGGGAGAGUGGGGAGGUGGUGGUGUUGGUGGUGGCGGAGGAGAUAGGGUUUGGGAGGGGAGGAGAGGGAGAGAGGAGGACGAGGAGCGAAGGACAGGAGGAAAGACGAAGCCAUUGUUAGCUGAUACUCUCCUCCUCUCCUUCCUUUUCCCUUUAAUUUCUUAUUUUAUUUUUAUUUUUUUAAAAAUUUUUUUGAAUUAAAUAUAAUAUAUAUUUUUUAAACUAUAAAUUUAAUUAAUAAUUUAUUAUUUUAUAUUUUAUAUUCACUUAUGCAUCUCUCGAAACCUCUUAUCCUUACAUAAGUAUCCGUUAAUUUUUUGAAUUUUUUUUUAAUUCUUAAAUGGGAAAAAAUAUAAGAUAUACCCUCUAUACUUAGGGAUGCAAACGGGGCGGAUCCGGGGGCGAGAGAGUUCCUCCACCUCCCGAUCCAUUUCUUAUCGGGGCGGGGCGGAUUCGGGGCGGGUUACUUUUCAUUUUAUUUUUGGCUCCCACUUACCGCUCCAUUCGGGGCGGAUCGGGGCGGGAGCCGGAUUUUUGACGGAUCGGGACGGAUUGAAGGAAGAAAACAGUCUCCCACCUCCCGCUCCAUUUACUUGGCGGUUCGGGGCGGAUUCGGGGCGGGUUAUAUUUUUUUAUAUUUUUUGUUCCCACUUACCAUCCCAUUCGGGGCGAAUCGGGGCGGAGCUCCACCAACCCGGAUCCAUUUGCAUCCCUAUCUAUACUAGAGUAUACAAGUAAUAAUUUUUUAAAAAUAUAAGAUAUACACUCUAUAUCUGAACUUGUACGGUUGUACUACUUAAUUUCCGUACUGAAGAAAAAUUAUCAAAUCAUGAGGGCUAAACAACAAAAGUGACAAAAUGAGAAGUGGGCCGGUUGGAUUGCUUUUCAGGGGUGGUUGGACCCUCUCGCUAGGCUUUCCCGGCCCAGACUAUCGGUUGUCGGGCAUACGGUGUCGGAUCCUCCCUUCUCCGCAUCAUCCACGACCCGGCGGGUCUUGGAUCCGCCAUCUCCCUUCGAUCCGAGGCGCGGGCAGCCCUUAUCCGACAGCCCGAAGUAUUGGCAUUGCUGCUUCCUUAGAUCUCGGGUGGAUCCUCUCCUCUGCCCUGAUCUCCUCCGCCACCCUUACUCAGAGGGUGCCCUAGCCAUCCUCCUUCCGCCGGAUCGCUUCUCUCCACCAUGCUGCAGCCCCUAUACCCCUUUUAGCUAGUAAAAAACUAGUAUUUCUACUACUGGUCUACUACUCCUACUUACUACUUCUUGUUGUUAUUCAGGCUAUUACACCCUCCCGGUGCAGCCGCUACGUGCGGUUCAACACGAUGCAGGCCAUCGUCCUUGACGUCCUCCUCAUCUUCCCCGACAUCCUCGAGUUACGAGAUCCCGCAAAGCGCCGACAGCACCGUCUUCUUCUUCUUCUUCUUGCUCGUCUCCCUCGUCUACUGCUCCACCGCCUGCCUCCUCAGCCAAAUCCCCAGUUUGCCCGUCGUCGCCUACGCCGCCGAUCGCCAGGUCCUAUGAUUGCCAACUCCUCUAUCUCCCCCUCCCCCUCCCCCUAACUAGCCACUUUUUCUUCUUCCUCCUCCUCCUCCUCCUCCCCCCUCCUCUCGAAAAAAUAGGUGUCAUUUUUUGGCAUUUGACGGUUUCUGAUUUGGCGAUUUGGGUGGGAUCGGGAAACUGGAUUAGGGCAUAAUUUCUCUUGCUUAGAUUUUAUUCAUUUGCAAAAACAGGCCGGAGUUCAUCUCAUGUAGCUGCUGAAUUUUUGUUAACAUGUAAAUGCUGUAGGCCGAAAAGAACAUACUAUUGCUAAUAUUAGAGUUUCAUAAAAUUAGUUAUAUAACAACAACACAAAAACACAUAUAUAGCUAGCUAGCUAGACAUGGACCUAGCUAGUUUAGUCAUCAAACAAAAACACAACAAUACAUAGCUAUCUAGCUAGUUUAGUCUAUAAAUAACAACACAACAACAAUACAUUACUGAUAAUGAAAACAAGAAUGUGUUCCCAGCAAGAAGCCCCCGCACAGCUCUUAUGGCUUUGCAGUGCCGUUCAACAUGCGGCAGCAGGGCGGGAACAUAGGGCAGCAUCGGAUGCAGCAUGAAGGGCAUGAGCAGCAUUCUUCGCGGCAGCAUCCUGCUCCAAUGGGCAGGUCUUCGUCUGGAGAAUUAGCUGUAGCCGUAAGUAACAAAGUGCUAGCAGCAAGCAGCAACAACAUUACCAUCAUCAGAAAGUGUCGGCUGACCGACCGUUCCUAGAGCAAGUGGCAAAGGACUUGGUGGUCGGUACCCGAGACCCAAAUUCGAAUCUUAGUUGAUUCACAUUUCUAGCUAAGUUUAUUUCAAAAUAAAAUAAACGAAGUGCGUAACGUGCUACCUAUCUCUCUCUCAAAAAAAAAAAAGAAAAAAAAAGAAAAAAAAAAGAAGAGUGUCGGCUGCAUGAGGAAAUCAUUUUUUCUUUUUAAGAUAAGAAGUUGAUUUGUUUUUGAGUUACGGUAGCCAACUACCAUGGUAUUUAUAGCCAGGGCGGAGCCAUAUUGGGGCUGAGGGGGACGUGGUCCCUCUCAAAUUUUCAUAAUUUGCACAAGAGUCCUUAAUAAAUAAAAAAUUUUAAAAAUAUUUUUUGAUUUAAUUUUAAAAGUAGGAUGACUAACCUAUUUUUUAAAAAAGUUUGUGGGGCUAAUAUAGUGCUCUCUCAACUUUGAGUUUUAUUUUUAAUUUAGUACCUUUAUAACUUCUAAUUAUUUUUGAUAAAUUUUUUAUUUAAUUAAAUUAAAGGUUAUAUUAAAGUUAAUAACUCUGUCAACUAAUAAUUAUUUAUUAUCAUAAUUAUAUUUAGUAAAAAUUAAAAAAUUAAAUUAUUUACUGAAUUAUUAUUAGAUUUAAUAAAAUUUAAAGUUAUUUGAGUGAAAUAAUAUAAAUAAAAUAAUUAGAAGUUAAGUAAAUGUAAAUAAAAAAGAGGUAAAACUUUUUUUAUACUAAUUAUUUAAUCAAUAUAUUUUUUUAUUAAAAAUUUGACUAGGUAAAUUUUAUUUAUUUGCUAAAAUUUUAAUUUAUAUAUAUUUUGCCUCUCUUCAUAAUCGAGUGCUAGUUUCGUCCCUGUUCAUAGAGGUAGAGGGAGCAUAACUGUGCAAAAUUAGUCAAAGAUUUAGAAUUUAUUAACACUUAUAUAUGUAUUUUUAAAUUAAUUUGUGAACUUUACAUGUUGCUUUUGGUAUGCUAUUAAUGUAAAUUCUUUACAGUAUGACAAAAUAAUAAAGUAAUUACUGAGUGCAGCAAACUCCAAUUAGUUUGCAAUAUUAAAUACUAAAUCAUCACAUGUGCAAUAAUUUCAGUUAUUUUGGAAAAGUAAAUCAUCACAGUUUGCACAAGGAUAUUAAAUCACAACAUGUGCGACCUGUUUCUUUUCCGUUUUUUUCUUUCAGUGAUUAUUUUAAUUUUUUUUGGAAAAGUAAAUCAUCAGAGUUUACACAAGGACAUUAAAUCACAACAUAUGCGACCUGGUUCUUUUCCUUUUUUUCUUUCACUGACCAUUGGGCUCUCCACCUUUAAGUUAGAAAGAAAAGAAAUAGAGCCCGCGUUAUAGCUGUUUCAUGCACUCUGUUCCCGUUUGAGAAUAAAGCUCUCUCACCCUCCAAAAACAGAAUACUCCAUAUAUAUAGAAUACCCUUCUUUAUUUUUAAAGGCACAAAACACUAAUAAAUUCUCUAGCGAGUGGGCUAACUCUAUAUAUGAGCCCUAUGACCCUAUGACUCCAUAGAAUACAUACAUCUCCUUCCUGGUGCUAUAUAUGUAGGUCAUACGGGACUAACACGGCCUACAUUAACUAAAUGAAAACAGGCCAAAAACUAGCUCUGUCUAAUCCUAUUUUGAAUUCGGAUUGUUCUAAGUUUGGACCUAAGGCCCUGCAUCGGCCCUCACCCAGAAUAACGCUGUCCAUAUCGCGCUAGAUUAAUUCUGUGACGAUCCUUUAUAUAUAUAUAUAUUUUUAAUUUAUUUGAAGUUAUAAAAAUUUAAAGGAAAGGACCAAAUUACCUCUCAACAGUCAAAAAAAAAAAAAAAAAAAAAAAAAAGACAUUGCGCUAGCCCAUUGAGUAUUUUGGCCUUCAAGACAUACGAAAAGAUAUUUAUAUUUCCUUGGAAUCUUUUAAAUUCUUUUGUUCUAUUUUUAAUUUUCUUAUUAGUAAUAUAAAAUAUAUAAUUAUAUAUUUUAAAAUGUUUAAAUAAAUUUUCAAAUAAUUUUAAUAUAUUUAUAAAAAAUAUAUAAAGUAAAAAAAAUAGAAUUUAGGCUGUGUAGGCGCGGUAGGCACGACAUGUAUUACGUACGAAUCAUGACCGACCAGGCCAUGAAACCGGCUGGUCGGUCCUUGAGCGAGCCGGGCCGGAUGGGCGCCCAAACUAUCCGGCCUGCUUUACACCCGUACAUCAAUCCUACAAAAUAAUGUUAACAACCUAUUUUUCAAUUUUCAAAGCACCACGUUGGAUCCUACAACGAAUUGAAGCUCUCCGAAGAGCUUUUUUCUGGAAAGAGUGCUCCAAAAUUAGUAGAGAUGACUGCCUCGUCAACUGAAAAGCUGUCUGCAAAUGCAAGAGAGAAGAUGGAUUAGGGAUCAAAGAUAUGGAAUCCAUGAAUGUGGCGGUGCUAACCAAGUGGUGGUGGCGCUUCUUUACCGAGCCAAAUCUGCUUUAGCGCAAGUUGAUAAGUUUCCUUUACUAUGCCAGAAGAAGGCCGUUGCACGAGGGCACGUUGACAAAAAAUUGAAGUGAUAAGGUUAAUCUUAAAAUAAAAUGAAUGUAAGAUAUACACUUCAUUUUAAGAUGUAUUUGUAGUAUUAUUUUUUUGUCAAAACAGUUAACAAUAUAUCUCUGUAAAUAUUUUUUAAUUUAAAAAAAAGCAGUGUACAAAUUUUUAAAUUAUAGAAGGAGAAAGUAAAAAAAAAAAAGUCUUGACCCAAAAAUUUUCUAUUAUUUAGCUUUUUUGUAUUCAUGAUAAUUGUCAAACCUGACCAAAAAAAAAAAAAACUAAACAAUUAAGAGACCAACCCAUUUGUUCACUGUUCAUAGCCGAAACGGGAAAAGAAUGGAAAAUGCUCGAGUAAUAAAAAGAUUCUAGAUUAUUAAAUGGCAUCAUUACUCUGCUGACGAAAAAGGUACACAUAAUUAAGAGACCAACCUAUUUGUACAGAGCCAAAACGGGAAAAAUGUGCCCUUUGAGCCAAAAAUUCAUAAACGUAUUUAUAACGUAUAGGUCUCUAAUAAAAGCAAUCCGAACAAUGAUAUUGCUUUACACACACACUCACACACUCUCUCAUGGUAUUGAUGAUACCAUGUGCAAUGUGGGAGGUGGCAGCUCUCAUGGUAUUGACGAUACCAUGUGCAAUGUGGGAGGUGGCAGGGUAAAGAAGUAUGCUUGACGCCACAUGUACUUCUCCCCUAAUCUCGCACAUUUCCCACUUUACCCUCCACAUUUUUUUCUCUUGCGCCUUUUUCUCUCUCUAUCUCUAUCUCUCUAUUUAUAAUUUAAACUCCUGUGUAGGAGUGUGCCCCAUCCAGUGUGAGCUCCCCAAAUAUCAAAAAAGGUUAUACCCUUUUACAGCUCCCCAGGACCCCAACCCCUCUCUCUCUCUCUCUCUAUAAAUAAUACUCCACCUCUUGCUCAUUCACCAUAAGCACUAAUAAGGCCUCUCUCUCUCUCUCUCUCUCUCUGCUUUUACAGCUCCCCAGGACCCCAACCCCUCUCUCUCUCUCUCUCUCUCUGCAAAUAAUACUCCACCUCUUGCUCAUUCACCAUAAGCACUAAUAACGCCUCUCUCUCUCUCUCUCUAUAUAUAUAUAUAUAUAUAUAUAUAUAUAUAUAUAUACACCUGGAUCGAUCAAAUCACUGGUUUGUUGGUGUGUGUUAUGUAUGAAUGGAUCGAUCAAUCCAUACAUGGAUUAAUUGUAUUUCACAAAUGACUAUUAUUUUGCAUGUUGUAUACAUAUCACUGUAUAAUUUUUCUUUUCACAUCGUUGCUUCGGCCGGAGGUAUGUCGAGAAUGCCGAACCGUCACGGCAAACUGUAGUCCGUUGUAAGACCCGCUGCCGUUGUCGUAGGCCUCGUCGUAGGUUUCUUCGUCGUUAGUUUGUUUUAAAACUAUGUGGCUCUACAUCGACGACGACGAUCGUACGUCAUAGUGCUUGUCGUAAUCGUCGUAGUGUCUCGCGGUUAACCUCUCCCUUUGUCGCGUCAACUUGCAUAUAUAUUGAUCGAUCGAUCUAUACCUGGAUCGAUCAAGCCACUGUUUGUUGGUGUGUUGUUAUGUAUGAUAGAUCGAUCAUAGAGAUGCAUGGUUUUAAAACAAACUAACGACGAGGCGGCCUACGACAAGCCUACAACAGGGACAGCAGAUCUUACAACGGAGUACAGCUUGCCGUGACGGUUCGGCAUCCUCGACAUACCUCCGAAGCAGUGACGUGAUACCUCUCUCAUUGACUGGCUACUAUUAAGUAGCCAAAAUUCUUGGCGCUGCUACCAAUUUUUUAGCGCUUGAUUAAUUUUUUUACAUAUUUCUAACACAUUGGAUAAAUACUAUACACCAAGUGAGACACUCAACCUAGGGGACCACUCAACUAUAACCGACUAAUAUCAUCCUGACAUCUACACAAUUUUUCAUCCAGGGUUAAAAACUGAUGCAAAAAGAGCAAAUUUACUAUUAACUAGAUUCAGCCUAAUUAAAUAUAUAAUAUAUAUAUAUAUAUAUAUAUAUAAUAUAAUCAUACUUGAGCUAGGAUACUUUACAAGUAUCACCCUCAUGGCAUCAAUUUUUAGCCAUUGAUUUCUACUUCUUGAUACAUAAUAGUUCCUUGAUCAAACAACUAUUCCAUUUACUCACGACCAUACCACCAGUUCAUCUCAAUCACCUCGAUCAUUUCUCCAUCUAAGCGCAAAAUACUAAGACACGACCCCCAUGAUACUUGUAAAACGUAUCUUAGCUCCACUCAUAAUAUAUAUAUAUAUAUUAUAUAUAUAAUAUAUAUAUAUAUAAAUAUUAUACUAUAUAAUAUGGACACUCAGUUUUGUUUUAAAAUUUAUUUUUGUUUUUAAUUAUAAUUAAUAUAAUAUUUUAAUGAUAAAUUUAAAAUAUAUUAAAUAAUUAAAUUUCAAAUUUAAAAUUAUUUUGUAUACUAUUUUUAAAUAUCAUAAAAAUAAUAUCUAUUAUAUUAAAUUAAAAAUUAAAAUUUCAAAUAAAAAAUGGUCACACCGGUGCGUCGAAAAAACUCCUGCUCUCGCAAGUCAGACGCUAGCGGGACGGUGGCCCACGUGCUCGGGUGCCACGCGGCCCAUCAAGAUUCAAGACUAUCCUAAAAAAAAAAAAAAAGAAAAAAAAGAGAAGACAUCGUGUCCAUAAAAUUUUUGCCCUAUAAAAAACCUCAUUGAUAUAGCAUUGGACCGGUCGGAAGUUUAAUUGGGUGUUUACUUUAUAAGAACCGAUUCGCCUUUUAUGGGCUUACUUCUUUUAGAAGCCGUACCUUAUAAGCACGUCCUAUCCUACAUAGAAACCACAUGGUGUCUGAAUGCUAUGGCAAUAUAUUGUUUAAAUAAAAAACCUCACAACAAUAUCGCUCCAAUUCUUACGUACAGUUGUAUUCGGAUUCCGUGGUUUAGAUAUAAAUAAAAACAUAAUUUAUUCUAGAGAUAUUACAAUUAAGAUAUAAAUAAGAAGAAAAAUUAAUUUUGAUUGGUAUAACUGAAUAAUUUUUGAAAUAAAAAAAAAAUAAAUUUGGAUGAAAAUUUGAAUUAUUUUUAAAAAUAAAAAAAUAAUAUUUAGAUAAAUAAAUAAAUAAGAAAAAUACAAGCUUGUUAUAAAAUAAAAAUAUAUAAAUUACUUCUCUAUUAAAAUUAAAAUUUAAUUUUUUUUAAAUUAAAUAUUCAAAUUUAAAAUAUAAAAUUAAAAUCUCACAAUUAUAAAUUUUAAAAUUCAAAAAAAUUAAUUUAAAAUUUAAAAAUAAUAAAAUUUCAAAUUUUAAAUUUAAUAAUUUUAAAUCCUAAACAUAAAAUUUUAAAAAUUAAAAAAUUUAAAUUUUAAUUUAAAAUAAAAGUAUAAAUUUUUUAAAUAAUUAAGAAUUCUCAACUCUCAAGCUUGUUUUCUCGAAGAAGCUGCAUUUCCACAUGAUACAACUAUUGUUCCCCAAAAAAGUGUGUUAAAUAUAAAUAAAAAAAAAAUUAUCCUCUGUGUAUUCCAACAAAACACACCUAGAACCCGUUCCUUUAUAACGGCACAAUUUUUUAAUCAAUAUAGAACUUUUUGGUCUUACAUGUGCGGUUUUCGUUUUCGCUCUGUAUUGCAACACGCUUUAUCUCGUAAAUCUUUGGAACGCGCAAGAAUGAUGCAUUAUGAACUUUAGUCAUCAACGCACACAAUCAACACAUACACAUGUAGCUAGCUAAAGUAAUGUGACCUAGCUAUUUUAAGGUGCUACUGAUUGAAAAAUGUACAUUACAUAUAACCAACAACGAAAAAAAAAAAAGUGCAAUUUGGGAAGAAAAAUAAUAAGGCAAUGAUUGCUCGUAGAUUAUUAUGUAUAUUGUUUAUGACAAUAUUUUAAUGUAAUAUCCUUAAAUUAUAUAAAAUAAAAAGUAAUUAUUAAGUGGAGCAAACCAGUUACUCUGAGCAUUAAAUCAUCCAGCAUUGCAACCAAUUUCAGUUACUAAUGAACCAUUAAAUCAAUUACACGUAAAUAACUCUAGUUCUGAACGUAAAUCAUCACAUUUACAACUGUGUUUUUCUUUUGUCUUUCCACACAGUAACCAUAAUUCUCCACCUAUACGCUGCUUCAUUUACUCGUUUUCAUCCAUUCUUUCCGCAUUGGAAUAAACUUUACUCCCCCAAAAAAAUACUCGCAAUAGAUAGAAGCUUACAAAGUCCUCUAAUAAAUUCUAUCUCCAAUCCACUACUAACAAUAUAUGCGCUAGUGACAAUAAAAUAUUCCUAGUUAGUGACCCAACUCGAACCUUAAGCCCUGCAAAAUAGUACAUCUUCUAACUUUCUAAACUUAAGGAGAAUUCAAUAGUCACUGAAAGAAGAAAGGAAAAGAAAACCAGAUUACACGUUGUGAUAAUUUCCGAGAGUAACGGCAACCUGGAAUAUUAUUAAAANNNNNNNNNNNNNNNNNNNNNNNNNCACUCUCUAUAUAUAUAUAUAUAUAUAUAUAUAUAUAUAUAUAUAUAUAUAUAUAUAUUAUAAUUUAAAAGUAAAAAAAUUAAAACAAAAAAAUAGUGCACCAUGUGCACCCAAAAAACUCCCCGUGCUCCCUCGUGCCACGCCGCGCCUAUAGGGGACAUCCCCAAAUUGGUUUUAUGGACACAGUGUCCAUAAAAGUUUUGCCCGUUUUAUAGCAUGGGGUCUUAUAUGGCAUUGAUUAUAGCCUGAGGUCGCAUAUGGCAUUGAUUAUAGCAUGAGCCCGUUUUACAUCCUAUGGCACUGAUUAUCCUAUGUCAUGGAUUAUAGCAUGUGGGAGGCGGAUAGCAUGAGGUCGUAUAUGGCAUUGAUUAUAGCAUGAGUUCCUUUUAUAGCAUGAGGUCGUUUUACAUCCUAUGACAUUGAUUAUCCUAUGGCAUUGAUUAUAGCAUGUGGGAGGUGGUCGGAACUCGGAAGCUUGGCAUUGAUUAUGGCAUGUGGAGGCGGUCGGAAGCUUUAAUUGGCUGCUACUAUUUUAAACCGAUUUGCCUUUUAUGGGCGGUUACAUCUUUAGAGCUGCUUACUUUAUAUAAGCACGUUCCAUCCCACAUAGUACCACAUGGUGUCAUAAAUGCUAUGUAUUUGUGUAAAUAAAAGGAAUCUCACAAGCAUAUUAGUCCGAUUCUUACGUACAGUUGCAUUCGGAUUCGUUUGGUUGGGAUAUAAAUAAAAAUGAUUUAUUCUAAAAAUAUAUACAAGUUAAAAUAUAAGUAAGAAUUAAAUUAAUUUUGAGUUUGUAUAAAAACUAAAUUAUUUUCAAAAGUAAGAAAAAUAAAUUUCGGAUAAAAAUUUGAAUUAUUCUCGAAAAUAAGAAAAAUAACAUUUAAAUAAAUAAGAUAGAAUAAGAAAAAUAACAAACUUUUAUAAAUAAAAAUGAUGAUAUUACUUCUCUUAUUAAAUUUGAAUUUUUAAAUUUUAUUUUUUAAAUUUAAAAUAUAAAAUUUAAAAUCUCAAAUUAUAAAUUUUAAAAUUCAAAAAAUUAAUUUAAAAUUUAAAAAUUAUAAAAUUUCAAAUUUUAAAUUUGAAAAUUUUAAAAUCUAAAAUUUAAUUUAAAAUUUAAAAUUUAUAAAAUUAUAAAUUUUAAUUUUAAAAUUAAAACUAUAAAUUUUUUAAUAAAUUAAAAAUUCUCACUCUCAAGCUUGUUUCUCGAAGAAGCUUAUUCCACCAUGAGUUGACAACUAUUGUUCCCCAAAAAAAGUGUGUUUAGAUAUUAAAUAAAAAAAAAUUAUUCCUCUGUGUAUUCCAAUCAAACACUACCUUAGAACCCGUUACUUUUACUGGCACAUUUUUUAAUCAAAUAUGAACUUUUGGUCUUACAUGUGCGGUUUUUCGUUUUCGCUCUGUAUUGCACACGUUUAUCUGUACCUCUUUGGAAAGCACAAGAAUGAUGCCAUUACUUAAGCAUUUCCCAUCUUAUAAUUUAAAAUAAACCAGUUAACAUUUAACAAUCAUCACGAAUACAAAAAAGCAACACUUUUCUCACAAUUUCGAAGGAACACGUCGCCGCUUCUGUGUCCGCUAUAUUCUAUGUCUAUAUUUUUCAAAUUUCUAAUUAUCCCACAUAACUCAUUAAACACAAACAUAUGAAAAAAAAAAAAAGAAAAGGAAAAGAACCUAAUUAAUAAUAAAGAUACAUAAAAAAAUAAAAGAAAACAAAACAAAGAAAGGUACAAGACAAUCAGCAAAAAUUAUUAUACGGAGUUUUCCUAACAUCAGAGGAGGUCCGACCAACUGGGCAGUGGAGUAACACUCGACUUCUACUCAGUUUUUGAACCAGUUCUUUAUUUGGUGGGUGGACCUCAUUCACAAACUGGAAUAGAAUGGAUAAAAUCUGGUAAUUGACGGAGCAAGUAGAGAUGUCAACGUGUCGGAUUCGGAACGGAUUUUUGAAAACCUGAAUCCGAACCCGAAUCCGAACCCGAUGGAUUUUAAAAAUCCAUAUCCAAACCCGAAUCCGACCAAAAAUUCGAAACCCGAACCCGAACCCGAACCCGAACCCGAACCUAAAAAUUUGAACCCGAAAUAAUUAUUUCUUUUUUCAAUAUUUCAAAAUAUAUUAUAUUAAAUCUAAAUUUUUAAAAUAUAAAUUCAAAUAUAACAUCAAAUUUUUAUGUAUAUAUUAUAUAUAAUACAAAAUAAAUUUGGAUUCGGAUUCGGGUCGGGUACAAUCAAAAUUCAUAUUCGAAUUCAUAUCCGUCGGAUUUCUAUUUUUGAUAUCCAUAUCCGAAUCAUAUUCAUAUCCAUCGGAUAUAUCCGUUUCAUUUUCGCGUUCGAAUUCGGAUAAAUUCGGGUAUUAUAUCCAUUGACAUCCUAGCAGCAACAAGUAUGGAAGGCUAUUCAAUUUUUUAUAACUAAGGUAGAGAGCCCUAUAUUUGUUUGCUUUUAAUCGAUCUAUGAUCAAGAUUAAUUUUCAUUUGAUCAUACAAGUCACUUUUGUAAUAGGUUUAAUUUGGUUUUUAUUUUAUAUAUUUUUUUUAAAAUAGUUAGGAAGUGUGAGGGUUGAUUAAUUAAUGAAAAAAAAGAUAAAAAAAAAACAUGUUGAAUAUGUGAUUGAUUUAACGUCCCAUAGAAGGAGUUUACUACACUUAAUAAUUAUUUUAUUAUUUUUUAUCACACUGUAAGGAACUUAAAUUAACAGAUUGUAAAAACAACACAAAGUCCACAAAUCAACUAAAAAUACACUAUAAUAAGAUUUAAAAAUUUAAAUUUUUAAUAAUUUGAAAAAAUUACACUUCCUUACGUCUUAAAUAUGAUGGCGGUGAGCACAUGUUUAAUCAAGAAACAAAUAACUCAGUAAAAAUGAUUUCUCUCUCAGUUGGCGCUUGAUGAUCUGACAAUAUUGUUCCUGGUAGUGCUGCUAGCGCAGCAAGUACAUCUGUAGGCUACCUUGAUUGUGCUAUGCAUGCUGUGCGGGAUGCUGCCUCGUCGCCCGUAAUGCUGCAGCACGUCCAACGCACUGCCGAGCCGUAGGAGCUGCCAAGACAAUAGGAGGCCUUCGUCGCUGCAUUAUUUUCCUGUUUUUUUUUUUUAAUAUGUCGCUAUAUAUGUGAUGUAUGUUUCAAUAUCAGUAGUUACUUUAUACUAGUUGGGUACAUACCUAACUAGCUAGAUAAGCAUAUACUGUUGUGUGCUGUUGUGUGGAUGUUUGGUCACUAAACUAGCUAGGUCCACAUCUAGCUAGCUAUAGAUAUAUAUAUAUAUAUAUAUAUAUAUAUAUAUAUAUAUAAAAUUUCGUGUUGUUCUAUGGUUAAUUUUAUGAAACUGAGUAUUAGCAGUAGUGAUAAUUCUGUUAUUUGCAAGUAAACAAAAAUAAUUUCUAGAUAAUUUUUAUUUUUAUUUUUGUUGCCCUGAUUGAUACACAUCCUCAACUUUGCCACGUUCUACUGCACUGUUUCCCUUCUCUUCCAGCUGAAGUAGUGCAACACAGCAAAUUUCACUUGUUUACUAAGGUACUGAAAUGAAUGAAAAUUUGACCGUUUAAAUGAUAAUUGAUACUUUUUAAUUAACUCACAGAUACGAAACAAAAGUGAAAAAAAAAAAAUUUGAGGAUAAGCAGGAAGAGGAUGAUGCCAGAGCUCGAGUUAAACUACUAUAUAUGCAAAGAUAAUCACAAAGGAGCAAAUCCUCAGGAUAAGAAACAAGCCCGAAGGAUCAUCAAUUCACCGCUAAAUACAUGCCGAUUCCCCUAAAAUAGUCAAUUAUUAUCAGCAAAUUAUUAUUAGCAAAAAUAUGAGUUUUACAUCAGAUGAUACAACCAGGUAGUUUAGUUUUGCAACCAAUUCACCAAUACCACCAGAAAAAAAAAAGAGAAAAAAAAAAGAAGGGAAAGAUUAUGCCCUAAUCCACUUUUCCGAUCCCACCCAAAUCCCCAAAUCGGAACCGUGGAAUGCCAAAAAUCGUCACCUAUUUUUGCAAGAGGAGGAGAGAAGGAAGAAGAAGAAGAAUAAGAAGAAAAAGAAGAAGAAUAAGGGAGGGGGGGAUAGAGGAGGUGGCAGUCACAGGACCUGGCGAUCGGCGGCGUUGGCGACGAGGGGCAACCUGGGAAAUUGGCCGAGGAGGCAGGCGGUGGAGCCGUAGACGAGGGAGACGAGCAAGAAGAAGCAGAAGACGCUGCUGUCGGCGCUUUGCAGGAUCUCGUAGCUGACGCCGUCGCUGGGGGCGAAGGACCGCUGGAGGAGGUCGGGGAAGAUGAGGAGGACGUCGAGGACGAUGGCCUGCAUCGUGUUGAACCGCACGUAGCGGCUGCAGCGGGAGGGGUUUGUAACAACCCUGAAGAAUAAAUGGCAGAAGUAGUAGUAGUAGUUUAAUAGUAAGCAGGGGAAGGAAGUAAAAAUGUCAACUUUACAAUAGCAGGAGCAGCAAUGAUGGCCGCAGCAAGUGAGGAAGAGCGCGCUCGACGGAGCAGACUCGCGAGCGCGUGGAGCUUGAGCUCUGGGUGCGUCUCGUGGAGCAUCACCAGGAGCCGCUCGCAGAGCUCACCACCGCCAUCUCCGCCUUCCUCCGGAGCCGUGAGGCGGCAGCAGCAAGUUGAGGAAUGCGGAGCUUGACGGAGCAGCCUGGCGAGAAGAGGUCCGGGCGGAGCACUGUAGAGGCGACGGUACUAGGGCACCCUCAGAGCUCGGAGAGGGCGAUGGGAGGAUUGAGAAGGGAGAAAGGGGGAGUCCGACAGAGUCUUAGGAGAUUGGGGAGGGCGAAGAAGAGAACCUGCGGGUCGAAGCUUCCGGAUCGCGGAUCGGGCGGAAAAGGCGAGCCCAAGACCCGGCGGGCGCUGGAUAGUGCGGCGAAGAAGGAACCGAGACCCACUUAUCCGUUAAUACAUUUCUGGACCCCGUGCAGCCCAUCCGAGGCCCACAAACCAUCUGAAUUCCACCCAGAAGGCCCGCAGUUCUUUUUUUUACAAUUUUGUUGUUAAGCACAGUAGGAUAGUUUAAUUACAUUUCGGUACAAGUUGUAUAGAGUAUAUAUAGUUAACAGGUUGUAAUUGCAAGGUAUGAAGAAAAAUGAAUUAGCCUAUUUCUCCCCCAAAAGUUCUUCUCCAAACCCUUCUUCUUCUCUAUCCCUUAUCUCUAUCCCAACUCUUUUCCCUAACCCUCACCUCUCAAUUCUCAUCUCUGUCUAUCUCUCUACCUCUAUUUCUCUUCUCUCUAUCUCAAUCCCAAUUUCUAUCUCUAUUUCCUUACCUCUCUAGCCUCGGUUACCGAUUACGUUACCUCGGAUCCGCGACCGGAAGCACCAAGAACCUGAUCCGAACCAUAAGGGAUAUUACAGGGUUGCGCACCACCGCGAAGUAGAGCGUGAGGAAGAGGAGGAAGCGGGUGAUCGGGGAGGAGCGGAAGAGCUGGAUCACGGGGACGAGGGGCUAGAUUAGGGUUUGGAGGAAGGGAGUUGCGUAAGGACGAAGCGGCCGAGGAGGAAGGGGGUGACCGCGAUUGUAUAAUACCUAGUUAGUCGACUUGCAAAUACUGAAGGCCGAAAAUAAGUUACUAUUGCUAAUACAUUACAUUUUCAAAACAUUAGCCAUGUAACGACAACACAAACACAUACAUUGAUAUCUAGCUAAGCGUUGGCCUAGCUAGUUUAGUCAUCAAAUAAUGGCACAAAAAUACAUAGGUACCUAACUAUUUUAGUCCUUAAACAACAACACAACAACAACACAACAACAAUACAUAGUUACUGAUAAUGAAAACGAGAAUGUUCUCCCAGCAAGAAAGAAGCCCUACAAAGCUCUUAUGGCUUUGCAAUGGUAUUGAUGCAGCACAUCGGGAUUGAGGGACAGCAUGAGGGAUUAGGAGGAGGAUUAGAAAACACAGUUGUUGUUGUUGUCGUCGCCACCCUAGCAGCAGCAGCAAAAACAUUACCAGGUGCUGCAUUACGACGGAGCGCGGGCUACAGGAGUAACUUAUUUAUUUUGUUAUCUUAAAUUAACAACACUAGGAAAUUUUUUUUUUUAAAAAAAAAGAGAUAGAUAGUAUGCUACCUAUUUUAUUUUGUUAUCUUAGCUGAAAAUGUGAAUCAACUAGCUCGGAUUCUAACUUGGGAGCUCGGAUACUAACCAUCAAACUCUUUGCCACUUACUCUAGAAACCGUCGGUAACAUUAGGAAGAAGUUGAUUUGUUUUUCGUGUUAAGGUCCAAAACACUACAAGAGAAGUUUUUGAAAUAUCCAUAUUCACGUUUCCCCUAACGUGGUAUUUAUAGAGGGAGCAUAACUUCACAAUUUUUUAACUUUUCUUUUAUGUGCAUUUUAAAUUAAUUCAUGAAUUUUACAUGUUGCUUCAGAUAUGCUAUUAUUGUAAAUUCCUUAUCAUACGACAAAACAUAAAAAGUUAUCAAGCAUCAGAGAACUCCAGUUAAGCCUCUGGAUUAUCAAAUGUCGCAUAUGCAAUAAGUUGAAUUAUUUUGGGACAUUAAAUGAUUGCAGGCUGCACAAUUACUCUUGGACAUUAAUUGUCCAUGUGCAAUCUGUUCUUUUGCCUUUUUGUCCGUCAGUAGUCUUUUGGGCUCUCUGCCUCAAAGAUGGAAAAUAUGUAAAGCCUGCCUUAUAGCUGUUGCAUGAUUUAUCCAAUUUCAUCCACUCUUUCAGUUUGGGAACGAGCUCUCUCACCCUCUAUAUAUAUAGAAGACUCUUCUUCUCUUAUUUUCAAGUUGCGAGUCCUUUAAUAAAUUCUCUACUCUCCAACAAUCACCUAACAAUAUUAAUGCCAAUAUAACAUAAGAUGGCCACUAGAUAUUCUAGCGGGCUGAAUCUGUAUGUGAGCUCCAAUGACACAGUAAAAUACGUAUAUCUACUGGCGCUAUGAGGGCCGCGUCGUACUAGCACGGCCCACAUUAACUGAGCUGAAACAAGAUAAGAACCAGUUCAGCCUGAUCCAAUUUUGAAUUCGGAUUGUCAUAAGCAAGUCCAAUUUUUUUUUGGACGUACAUCCCUGUAUGUUCCCCUGGCAACAACAACACCGUGCAUAUCCUUUAAAUUAAUAAAUCUGUGCCGACCCAUUAUGUUUUUUUUUUUUAAAUUUUUAAUUUGUUUAGAAUUAUAAAAAUUUUAAAGGAAAGGACCAGAUUAUCUCUCAACAAUCAAAAAUUGGUCUUCAAAAUAUAUAUAAAGGAAUUUAUAUUUCUUUGGAAACUUUUAAAUUCUUUUGUUCUAUUUUUAAUUUUCUUAUUAGUAUUAUAAAAUAUAUUGUUAUAUAAUUUUCAAUAAGUUUAUUAUAUUUAUAAAAAUAUAUAAAGUAAAAAUAAAAAAAAGGGUCAGUCUGUGCCUGUGUCGGCACAGAAUGCGUGUCUUAUAUUACAUACGGAUCGUGACCGGCCCAAUCAUGUUAACCAAUUAAUUUACACCUAAUCCUAUGAAAUAAUAUUUCUUUUUCAAAAAAAAUAACAUGCUACCUAUUUAGCAUGUUAUAUAUAUUUUUUUAAAAAAAUAAAUUUAGUUAAAAAUAUGAAUUAAUUAGGAUUCAAAUUAAAGACCCCGAAUACCAAACACAAGCCCUCUGCUACUUGCGCAGGGGCGAUCAGGACGAUCAGUUCCUAUGAAAUAAUGUUAACGAGUUGUUUUCUGGAUGCUGAGUUUUGAAACAAUUUAAUAUAUCAAUUCAUUUUAAUAAAAGUUUUCAACUUAAUUCACAAAUUAUUGUAGGUUUCUAGAGUAACGUUCAAGCCUAAAAUCUAGCACUAGAGACGUUUUCUUAGCGUGGACUAAUUAAUGACUUUUUAUUUUUGGGUGUUUUCUGUGGGAGUGUUUGUAGAGGUGUAAUGUGGGCCGUGUCAGGCUGACACGGCUACAUUUUUCGGACCAAAAUCGGCUAAAUUUUUUGGUUCAUUGGACCUAAAGCCCUCCUCCCCAAGGUCUGCCAAAAGAAAUAAGAAUCCCCACUGGAGAUUAGAUUUUGCUUGGGAGGAGAGCACCUGGAGAGGAUGGCCAAGCCCUCAUCCCCAGCAGCUCAAACUCGAUGGCCCAAUGCCAUUUGCUUUGGACCAUGGGUGUGGACCGGGCUGGCCAGGCUGGCACAAUCCAAACGGACCGUGUCGUGCCGAGCCGCUCACCUCUCCUCUGCCUGGCAUAGCCCAGGCCCGUUUCGGGCUGUGCCGUGCCGGCCGGGUUUGGGACGUGCCGGGCUCUCGAGCUUCAAAGAGGUGGCCGUCCAACAUGCCCAGAGCCUCGGGCCAAGCCGGUCCGAUACAGGUAAUAUGGUACUCGUGCCUUGCUGUAGACCUGACCGAGGCCGUGCAGGGCAAGACGACCCACGUGCCGCCCAGCCCGUUUUACAUCCCAAAGUGUUUGGAAAGCAAAAUAAAUUGACAGAAACUUAAUUUUUUAAACAAACUUUUUAUCAAAUCCCAUCAUGCACGUACCCAUAUUUUUCUAUUUGCAUCAAUAAUUUUUUUUUUCUUCUUUAACAAAUUCUCACACAUCUAACUAUUUAAGAACAAAUUAUUAAAAACUUUCUAAUGUAUAAAAAUGAAAAUCUCAAUUAGACAUUAAGUUCAAAAGUGAAUUUGUAUGAUCAAAUAACAGAGAAUCUUGACCUUUUGAUUUAAAAAGUAAUUAAGUUGUUGAUAUUUCAGGCUUGAAUUUUAAAACAACAUGAAUGGUAGAUUAUACAAUCUCACAAUGAGGACGAUCAUAUACAUUCUCAUAUAAAUCAAGCCGAAGGAGAAGAUUAGUUGUUUGGAUUAGUUCACAGAAUUUUGAGCGUAAAAUAUAAUAUAAUCCGCGCGGCAAAUCUUAAUGGUGAAGGGGGCAACCUUUAGCUUCAAUUCCUGGAGCUGUGGGACAAUGAGCUAAGGGGCAAUGAUCACUCACAGCUUGCCCCCACCAGCCGAUCCCGUUGAUGCCAUUGAACUGGAAAAUACUCCCCAGCAAGGCCAUUAAUGCGACGCCGCAGGUGAGCGCGUUCGACAACACGUAGUUGUAUCUACUCCACCACACUUUCCACUUCCUAUACACCACAUAGUUGAAGAAAAACGCGACGAUAAACCAUGACCAGUAGUUCACAGGCUUCGCGUACGGCAUCUGCGUGGACGCUGCAAAAAUCAGCGGAACAUUGACUUGCCUGAUCCAUUCUUCUUUAGGAAAUAAGCGCGAGAUGAUCCAAACCAAGACCGUCGCGAAGGCACCAUAGAGGAAGUAGUAGUAGAGGCUUGAGUAAACGCUUAGGGAUCCGAAGAUGCGUGCCGGCCCAAUCACAGCCCAAAUGUUGAUGCGGCUGUUGGUUAGUGUUUGGCUCGGGCACGUCCAGGGGCUCCCCGCUGGAAGCUUAUCGAGGUCACAAAUGCCAUGGACUGUUGAAAGGAGCCACCACGCUGUCGCAAAGUCUACUGAGCAUGCGAUCACCGUGCCGACAAUCUGCAUGAGAGAUUGCCACAUAUUACCGUGAAACUAAGGAUCGCAAAUUAAAGUUGAAGCUGUUCGAUUAUGGACAUGCAUGUCUUAUUUCGAAUGUGUUUGGUGAAGUGAAAUAUCACUGCCCCCAAAUACCCAAAUAACCAAAUGAUACUUUAAAAACAUAUAGGAAUUACCUGGACGAUGAACAUUGACCUCGGAGGGAUCUUCAUGUAGUGGCCAAACUUGAAAGAUUUUAGGAAAUUUAGCGCAAGUCCCAUGCAACUCGUAGCAUAGGAUUUGAAUGCAAAUGCUGCCAGGGGCUUUCCAGGAUACAAGUACCCACUAAUCAUUUCUGAAAUAAUAGCUAGAUCUAGACCCUGCAAGAGAGAUAUCUAAUUCGUAAUUUGUUUAGGUAUACACGCUCAUUAAAUAGUAAUGCUUUAUAUUAUUAUUUACCUAUCUUGUUUUCUUUUAUUUGCAUAAAAAAGAGACAAAUGAAACAUGACAUAAAUCACAUACGCACCAGUACACUUUAAGUAAUUGCAAAGUAUGGAGAGAAACUAUAGUACUAAACCAGAUUAUCGAGGAAUUAUUGUAGUUACAUGGAUGAAUGGGAUGCUUCAAUCAGGUUUAAUUAAUUCUGACUAUUAAAUGCACUUUCAAUACCCACAGUGUACUCUUUUUUUUUUUGGAAAAAUUUCCUCAAUACCCUUCUAAAAUUAUCUAAUUUCAUAAAUACCCAUAUAAAAAUUGAAAUAUCAUGUAUACCCUCCUAAAUUUAAAAAACUUUCAAAAAUAACCCUACCAUUAAGUGCCCAUCCAAAUUGAAGUUAAUAAUAUUUAAAUUCCAACUUUACCCCUCUUAUAUUUAAUGGUCAAUUACUUACUUUAUUUCCUAAAUACCCCUGUUAUAUUUGAAAUUUAACUAAACUCUAUCUAGACUAAAGAUUUAGUAAAAUUUGAUUGAUUUAGUUUAGAAAAAUUAUUCAUUUCAAUUAGAAAUAAAUAUUUCUAUUUCAAAUAAAUUGUAGUUAAAUUAAAUUUUAUUUUGCUUCAUUGUUAAAAUGAGAAGAUAAUUCAUUUUAGUUAUAUUUUCUUUUACUAUAACGAUUGUAAAAUAAUAAAAAAUUUUAAUUUGACUACUUAAAGUAGAGAAAGUUUGUGGUUGUGAAUACACAUUAUAACUGAGAGCAAUACAUUAGUAUAAAAUUCGACCCCAGAUAAAAAAUUAGUUUUAUUAUGAAAAGACUUACUAAAUUUUUAUAAUCAAUGGACAUUAUAUGAACCAAUAAUAGUUUGAAAUAACAAAUUGAAAACAUGAAAUUUUAAUUAAUAAAAAUUUCACAAAGUAAGAUAAUUAUUCCAUCAAAUUUUAAUACCUUUAACUAAUUUUCAUUUGAAAAUAGCAAAAUUCAUUUAAUAGCUAAUUAACUGAUUAAUUGAAUUUCUAUAUUUAAUUGAUUAAAAUAUUUGAAAUCAAAAUAAACAAAAUUUGAAUGGAUAAAAAUUUAAAAAAAGAAAUGGGUUAGCAUACAUUUAUGUACCCCUCACCAAUUUUCAAUAUUUAGGGAUAAAAUAGACAAUUUUAUUCUUAACCUUCAUUAUACUAUAAUGUAACUAAAAUUAAAACGAUCCCAACUAAUGAUAGUAUAUUUUGGAUUUUUUUAAAACAAAUUAAAUAUUCAUAGGGUUAAUUUUGAUAUUUCAAAUUGUUAGGAACAUUUAUUAUAAUCUUAAACUUGUCAAGGGUAUGAAUGAAAUUGUCCCUCUAAAGAAAUAGUGAACAAAGAGUAAAAUGAUAAUUUUAUAUUUUAAAGCAAAGUAAAAAAAUGUUGAGUUAACGGAAGUCAGCAAAAUAGUAACGGUAAGGGCAUUUAUGAAAGAAAUAUUGUAUUUAGAGGGUAUUUGUGAAAAUUUAAAAAUUUGAAGGGUAUUUAUGAUAUCUCAUAGUUUUGUGAGGGUAGAAAUGAAAUUAACCCUUUUCUUUUUGUGUGUGUGAUCCAAUCAUCAUGUCAUAUUAAUUAAUUCUACGAGAUCUUAAACUCACCCUGCUUGUUGUAGCCUCGAGAACACCAAAAGGUAGGAGGAGAAUAAAAGCCAUGGCGCAUGCCAGCAGGACCCCCACAAAAGGAAGUUGGAAUUGUUUGUCGAAUCCUUCAACUGUUAGUAUUGAUAAACCAAGCAUCAUUAACAGUAGCACGAUAAACCACGAUUGCGGGAUGGACUUGUAGUUGUUCUUCAUCAAUCGAGUGUGAAUGUCAUCCGGUCUACUUGAACUGGAACUUGCUUGUUUGUACUGUCGCCAUAUCGACCUGCAACGACACAGAAUUCGCAUCGAAGGCAUAACUUGUGACUGCAGGAGUCGUCAUUUACCCCAUAUACAGCUCGCAAAUAUAAAGCAUGCAGAUAAACACUUUUACCAUCCACUUUGGACAAGAUAUAUACAUAUAGGCUAUUAUAUAGGCUGGGACUACCAUACUCUUAUGAGUAUAGACCCCCUUAUACUCAUAAAUUUUUAACCGUUGAUUGAUGGAAUGUGUGGCUAGGAUGAUGGUGAUCCCCCCACUUUUAAUGAUAGUGGUCCUCUAGGGUUGAGUGGGUAGUUGGUUGAAUAGUAUGAUUUAACGGGUGGAAAUGAUCAAUAAAAUAAAUCUAAAGGCCAAAAACUUAUGAGUAUAAGAAAACCAAUACUCAUAAAAGUAUAGUAGCCGGAUUCCUAUUAUAUUAUUAAUAGUACUAAAUACUUGGUACUAUUAGAUUUUCGGUCCUUGGGUGAUUGAUUAAGUAGUAUGAUCUAACGGAUAAAAAUAAUCAAAAUGAUAGAUCUAACGAUAUAAAACUCAAUAACACCGAGUACUGGCUAAUAACAAUAGUAUACUAGCCGGACUAUAUAUAUAUAUAUAUAUAUAUAUAUAUAUAUAUAUAUAUAUUGAGCUCCUAUGCUUUUAAAAGUAUUAAGUUAUUGAUGCUUAUAAGUUUUUAGCCCUUGGAUUAAUAGAUGUGUGGUUAGGAUGAUAUGGGUCCCCAUGGGUUGAGUGGGUGGUUGGUUGAAUAGUAUAAUCUAACGGAUGAAAAUGAUCAAAGGCAUAGAUCUAACAGUAAAAAAUUCACAAGCACCAAGUGCUUGCUGCUUUUGCAAGCAUCAUAACCGGACUAAUAUAUAUAUAUAUAUAUAUAUGGCUAGGCUCCUAUGCUUUCGAAAGUACGGGAACCUCCGUACUUGUAAGUUGUUUUCAAUAAUGGGACAUCCGAUUUGGCGAUCGGUUCCGUUAGAUAUGAUCUACGCUGUUGGAACUAUCUAGAAACCAAAUUUUAUAAUUUUUUGAUUUCGUUUGUCUAGUAAAUGAGUAGCCUCAAAAUGAACGGCUGAAAAUGAAAAUCUCACAAAAAAUAGUGAUAAAGGAUAGAAAUUUCAAACCGGAAGUAUUGGUCUUACUAUUAAUGUUAAGUAGAAUUUUCUAUUAAAUUUUCAUCUAAUUUGGAUACUUCUACACCGUUGAACUUAAAAACGUGUCACAUCGGCCAUUAAAAUAGUCAUUUUUGAGACAUUUUUAUCGCUUGGUAAAUGAUAUCAAAAAAUUAUAAAAUUUAGUUUCUAAAUAGUUCCAAUAGGGUAAAUUAUACUUAACGGAGCCGAUCGUCGAAUCGGAUUUUCUAUCAUCGAAAACAACAUACAAGCACGGAGGCCUCCGUAUUUUCGAAAGUACAAGAGACUUACUAUAUAUAUAUGCUUAUAUUAUAAUACUAUAACUAUAAUAUAGGUUGGGCUGCUGUGCUCUUAAAAGCACGCAGCCCUGUGCUCCGUCCAAAGCAUCAGCCAUCCAUUAAACAGAUCGGAUGCUGAGAUUCGGAGGAGCUUUAAGGCUAACCCAGUUAGGAUGGUGUGCAACAACCCAUAUCUUUCUCUCUCCUCAUUUUUGUUUUUGUCUUUUCUUUUUUUUUUUCUUUUCUUCGCUUUUUCUCCUCAUCCUCGACGGGGAAGGGCACGCGACGGGAGGGGGGGGGCUGGGGGAGUGCUACAGAGUGGGGUGGUCGCGGGAGCAGAGGAAGGUCGUGGCCGGGCGGAGGGGGGCGUCGCCCGCGCGGCGACGGGGUCGCCCGAGGGAAGGUCGGGGCGGCGGGGAGGGGGUCGCCGAGGGAGGCGUCGCGCGGUGGGUCCGCGCGCGCGGUUGGGCGCGUGCGGCGCCGCGCGCCACUGCUGGUAUUGAAGGAGGGAGGUGCUGUACCACUUCUGCGUGCGCCUCAAAGGUCUGAGCGCUCCGCGAUUCCAACAUGAUGUGGGAGAGGAAGGAGAAGAUUGGGGAAAGAGAGGGAUGAAGCAUGUUUCUUGGAGGCAGAUGGAGUUCAGCGAACCUAGCGAAGAAGACAGCAGAAAAGGAAUGAGCAGAAAAAAGAACAGAAAACAGACAAAAAAGCAGCACAAAAACCGAGAAGACGCAGACAAAUACGACGCGGCUUGCGUUAACCAUCUAACUGGGGUUAACCUUCUUAAACUCCUCCAAUCUCUCCACCAUCCAUCAUUUAGACUGAUGGCUGAUGCUUUAGGAGCACAAGGCUGCUUGCUCUUACAGAGCCACCAGCAACCCCACAACUCUAUAUAUAUAUAUAUAUACUAUAUAUAUUCAAUAUAUACAUAAUAGCAUCCGGCUACUAUACUAUAUAAGUAAUUGAUGCUCUCGUACUCAUAAAUCGUUUUCGAUGAAUAAGCUUCCGAAAUCGAACCAUGCCAUCACCGUUCAAACAAUUAUUUACAGCACACAACUUUUGAAAUCAAAUUUGAUAUUUCUUCAGACAUCAUUUACCUUACAAUCAAGAGGGUCCACAAAUUGAUAAUUUUUAAUGUGCCGGUAAUGGGAUACUUGCUAGUUUAACGGUGUAAAUAACAUCGAAAUUUGUUGAAUUUUUGAUAAAAAAAUCUAUUCCACACCGUACCGAUACAAGAUAAAUAAGCUUCCCGACUCUCAGAAUUGAAGGAUCUAUGCAUCCCUUUUUUAAGACGUCGUUCGAUUUUGAUCAUUCCAAGUUUAUGCCGCUGAUGGACUUAUUUAUGAUUGCUCGAAAAUUUAUAAAAUUAAUUUCUCUAGAAGUUUCAAACACUCCUAGAUCAUCUUAACGGAGUGGAUCGCGCUUCGAACCAGCUCCAUCAUCGCGACAAACAACGUAUAAUGCCGGCCGCGUUGAUGGACUUUUAUUACUAUGUUGCGAAAAUUUCGCCGAAAUUUAUUUUCUAGAAGUUCAAAUACUCCUAGAUUAGCACAGGCAAAUAAAUAAAAAUAUAAGAAAAUAAAAAAAAAAGACAAAAUAUAAGAAUAAUAAAAUUAUAUUUAUAGUAACUAAUGAAAAGUUGAUAUUAAAAUAUCUGACUUAUAGUUAGAGCCAAAAUUUGCACCUAAUUAAAAGCUUGAGGCGACUAAACAUUCAUGUACCCUUUAUAAUUUUAAGCCAAAAAUAAAUGCGUUAAAAAUUUGAGGAGUAAAGUACUAUGAUUCUUACUUGAGACCAAAAGCAUACUCACCUUUUUUAUAUUUAGAAUGUCUAAUUGUUAAAAUUAAAAAUCGACCAAUCAUAUUUUGGAUAUUUUAAAAGAUUUUAAAUGUGAAAUUGAUCGAUCAUCAAACUAUAAAUAUGUCAUUAAAGUUUGAUAUUAAAAUCAAAGCAAAAAAGUAUAAAACUUUUUAAAAUUAUGAACUAUUUUGAGCCAACCAUCCAACAUUUCAAAAUUUUAUUUUUACUAUCCAACCUUUCUACAUAUUAAAUUAAAAUUAUACUUACAAUAUCGAUAAAAGUUAAGGAUUAAAAUAUCAUAUGCCUUUAUAGAUAGAGUCAGAAAUUUCAACUAAAUAAAAUUUGAGGUCUAAAGUGCCACGUGCUUUAUAUAGUUUGAGCAAGAAAAUAUAACGUAUUAAAAUUCAAGUACUAAAGUAUCACAAGUCUUAUAGUUUGAGACCAAAAGCAUAAUAUACUUUUUUUAUAUUUUAAUUUUAUUUCAGAAGGAGACAAAGCUCUUUACGAUAUGCUAAACCAUUUAAUAAAUUUUAGAAUGUUUAAUUGUUAAAAUUAAAAAUCGAUCAAUCAUAUUUUGGAUAUUUCAAAAGAUUUUAAACAUGAAAUUGAUCGCUAAUCAGAUAAUAAUUAAAUAUGAUAUUAAAGUUUGAUAUUAAAAUGAAAAUUAAGACGUAUAGAAUUUUUUAGAACUAUGAACUAUUUUGAGUAAGCUAUCGAACCUUUCAAAAUUUUAUUUUUUUUAUUUAACUUUUCUACAUGUUAAAUUUGAGUAAGUGAAUAAUACUUUAACUUCAAAAUUUAAAUGCGUCGUUUAAUUUACAGAUUUAGUUAAUAUACUUCACAUGAUUUUUGCAACUAAAUUUAUUAAAAUAAAUAUUAACUUAAACUCUAUCAAUCUUUUUUUUUAUUAUUUAUUGUACAAUUUAUAUCUAAGUGAUAAAUAAUAUAAAAUUAAAAAAAUGUAUGUUUAACAUAUAUAACCUAUACGAUUUAAAAAUUAUAUAUUUUGAAUUUUAUAAUAAAAUAGAUGAGAAUUAUAUUGGAUUUUUUUAAAAAAAAAUCCGAUUCUGUCGGUUCUGAUUAGUGAACAGUGGAAAGAGAAAAUAUUAAAAUUAAAAUUAAAAAAAAAAAGGUUGGACCAGUCCCCACCCCCACCUGCUCCCCCCUCAAGCAGGGGUGUAAUGUGGGUUGCCAGACCGGCGCGGCCCGCAUUUAUCCCGGCAACGCAGGCCAGGGGUCGGCCCUGCCAGGCUCGGUUAGAAUCCAUGCCGGGCCAAGUUUUAUUGAACAUCGGCCCAUAUCGGCCCUCCAACCCAGGUGGCACGGGCCGUGUCGGGUUGGGCCAGGCCGGCCUCCGAGCCGGCUCUUUGAAUAUUUUUUUUUAUUUUUUAAACUAUAUAAAAUAUUGAAAAAUAAAAAUAAAAUAACUUUUUUUCCUAAUAUGUUGGCUAAAAGAUAAAAAUUAUUAAAACACUUAUAAAAUAUUGAAAUUUUUUAAUUUUUUUUUUUCCAAAAGAGAGCACAGGGCCCUAGACUCUUUAUUUCCUUAGCCUUUGGAUCCGAGGAGCCAACCUAGCUCCCUAUCCUAAGGUCAGUCCCCCAGAAGCCCACUAGGCCAGGCCGUGCUGGCCCUGGGCCGCACGUCCGCUCGGCACCAGACCCAUAAUGGGUCCUGCCGUCCGGUGCCGUGCCGGACCGACGGGCUCAAUUAUCUUGGCCCAGCACAGCUCGUGAUUAUCAGUCUGCCGACCAAGCACGGGCUCUACAGUACCGUGCCGUGCCUGGGCCCAGCCCGUUUUACAUCCCUACUCCUAAAGCUCCCCUUCAUCACCAUGUGGGCUGAAAUUGGUAUGAAUGGAUAGAUGCCUUAGAGUUUGAAACUAAAAUUAGUACCCGUUCCAGAUUUAUAAUAUUUCGAAAAUACUUCAUAUUUUUUACUUAAAAGUGUUUGAAAUAUUAUUAUUCGAGUCAAAGUUACAUAGUUCUAGUGUAAUCAUUGCUAGAUUUCUAGAUGAUAGAAAUAUCAGAUUAUUAUAAAUUGGAAAGUAUAUAUGCUCAUUAAUUGUCCAUUAAUAAGAAUAAUAAAUAUUGGUUCCUAACAACAUUUUUACUAAAUAAUUUGAUAAUUAGUAACAAACUUAUCAUUCUAAAAAAUAUAUAUAUAAUAUUUUUGAAAUAUCACAAACUUUGAAUCAAAUAGUUCUUUAGUAUUAACUAGACUGUUAGGCGGUGUACGAAUUGGCCGUGAGAAAUAAUUAAUUUGUUCAUGAUAAUUAUUAGGAUUUUGCAUUUCCCCAAAUAUAUAAUCGUAUAGGUUAUGUUACUAUCUUUUAGGAGGAUACAUCUGCUCAAAUAUAUGAUCGUAUAUGUUCUGUUACCAUCUUUAGAAGGAUUCUGAAUGCAUGAUAAAACAAGUAAUAUUACAUACCUCCCGUUGUAAAGAGCCACAUGGACUAGAGUAGCUGUUAUCGCCGCAAAACUAAAACCAUAGGCAACCACCAGGAAUGCACUCAUGUACAAUGGUGAGUAUUCCUCAUAUGCACUCUUAUCCAGCUCAAAUCUUUUGCUGUCCAGUACCCUUGAAAUGUUGUAUUUUCCACCGGCCUCGUCGAAUGUCCCCGCGCUGAAAAUAGGAAAUCUUCUUGCAUUGUAUGCAUUCCUCCAGUAAACGAGGGGAGUUACGACGUAAAUCGCGAGGAUGAACCCGGCGAGCGUGUUAAAUAUAGUGAAUGCUGGAUUGGCCAUGGGAUUGCCGAUCGCAGCGAUGGUCGACCAGUCAAGCCCGAUCGACCCAACCCCAAGACCAGAAAAGCCUGACCCAAUCUGUUGCGCCGUGAUUGAGCUCUUCCAAAUCCAGCAGGAGAACGAUAGGGCCAUGAUCGAGGGGAAGAAGUAGUUGGGAACAACAUAGUAAGCAAAGCUCGAGACGGCCACAAUCGUAAAGAACUGAAUUUUAGUUAGGCCUCCCUUUUGUCUCACUUCUACUUCAUGAAGUGCCCUGGAAAGCAAUGUUAGGUGUGUAUGCGUUGUGUGUGUGUGUCUAUGUGUGCGCGCGCGCGUGUGUAUAUAUAUAUAUGGCCGAUGCAUAUGCAAGUAGCAUUACGUAUUAUAUAUAUAUAUAUAUAUAUAUAUAUAUAUAUAUAUAUAUAUAUAUAUAUAUAUAUAUAUAUAUGCAUGUUUACCUGUAGGUAGAAACAUCAACUAAAGUCGAAGGCCACCACAUGUACGGAGAGUCCACGAGAAACUUCAUAAACACACCAGCAAACCCAUAACCCAUCACCUGCACAAAUUAAAACAUAAAAUUUCAUGAUGCUAGCUAGCUAGCUCCUAAAGAGAUGAUAAUUAGGAAACUUAAUUAGCUAGAAACGGUACACGCACGCAUGCAUAUUUCUGAACCAAAUUGUAUCUGUGUUCCCUGAUCAGAUACAUGCAGACAUAUAUAGAAACCGACCUGAGAUGUUUGUAUCAACAGGAGAGCAGCCCAGGGAUUAAUCUCCCUGUGGUAGAACGCUUUCAUUUGAGGUACCACCUCACUGGCAUAAGGGAUCCAAGAACCCGACGAAGCUAGAAUCAUGACGAGCGCGUGCUCUUUGAUAUUGAAGGGCCCGGGAUUGAGUGAAACCUUCCAUCCGGUCCACGGGAUUCUCAAGCACUUUGCGGGGAGGGUCGCGGCCAUCAAUCUUCCGAGCGCAAGGAGGCCUAGUUGUUGCAAGGUUUGGUCUAACCCGAUCUGAUUCUGGCGAUACACGAAGAAUUCAUUGAGAAAGGCUAUAAGGGCACAUGAACUGAUGCCCAGGACCCAUGUUCUGAGCGUAAGCACCGGCAAAUCCUUGUCGUCGGUCGUCGGAACCGUGAGCCUCACCUCCUCUAUCGGAGAAUCAUCAUGCACUUCACCUACAUUCACCACAAGAAAAUUAUCAUUUACGACUACUUUUUCUUUUCAUAUUUAACGAUUCUUAAAAGUGUUCCUCUAUAGUCUAGGAUCACAAUUGAAAACGUCCGUUAAAAUAUUGAUAAAUAAAGAGUCGCUACGUAUAUACCGGUAUAUGCCGAGUGUUAAUUUGUAAAAUACAUUCUAACGUUUUAAAGGCAUUACGUUUUUUUUAGAUUUUUUUUUAAAUCCAACAUUUUAAAGAAUCAAAAAAUUUAAAAUAAUAGUACAUUUUAUCAUUCGAUAAAUUGGUUUGAUAUAAUAGAGUAUUCAUAUGACGAUAUUUUUUAAAGCGUCGGUAUUUGUUAUAUUGUAGGAACGUUUAGAAACACUUCUUCCAUGCGUGGUCCAAAAAAUAUUCUUGUAUUGAGAUGUUCUCAUAGUGAUUAUUAGGAUACAUAUGCCAUCAUUAAUCCUAAAUGUUGUUCUAUGUUUGUAGAUCCUGAGAAUUAAUUAAUUGUUUUCUUCGGAUCACAAUGACUAUUUACAUGUCUGCAAGUUUGAUUCUAUGGCUGUGAAAAAUAGUGUGACAAAGAAAAAAAAACAGCUUGAAUAAGAACAGGAUAAAUAUACUUAAUUUAUAGAUGUGUUUAAUUGCAUAUAUCAAUUAGCCAAACAUAUAUACAAAAUGAAAAACUUGAGUGGGUGUUUGAUUUCAUGUAAAUCUACUAGAGAAGAUUUUUAGGAGAGAAAAUUAAGCUUUUCCCAUGAAAAGAAAAUUUAUAUAUUUUGUUGUCUUGAUUCAGUGUCCAUAGUAGAAUAACAUUUUAAGCAUAUUUUUUUAAAUGAAACUUUGAAAUAAUAGAAAAUUAGUGAGGAAUGGUAAAAAAAUAUUGUAGGUCCAUGAAAAGGUACAUAAAAAAGACGCUUACACAGUGGGCGUGAUGGAUCCAUCAUAGACAUUAUUGGACUUUUUAAUAUGCCCCACUUCUUUGUGAAAACGCCACUUAAUUUGUUGAUGUAGUUUUUAACGAGAUCGAUCUUAUUGAAAUAAUGCAUGUGAACCAAAAUAUAAUGCAUCUUAUAUUUAAAUUUUAAAAAUUGUUCUAAUUUAGAAACUUUUUCACCCAUAUAUCAAUAGCAUAUUGAACAUGAAUAUAGACGAAUUUAGCCAAAUAAGAAAGAGGAAUAAAUGCUACUCAUUCAAGUUUUUUUUUCCUUUUUUUGUACUAUAUGACAGGAGAUAACAAAUGAACAAGGAAAUAACAGAUUAGUAAUGUGCAUUUUAUGUCAAUAAUUUAUCGUCAAUAGAUAACAGUUUUAUAGAAGGAAAAGAAAUUAUUGUAGUAUAAUUACGAGCAGUAUAAAAGGAAGUAAUUGGAGUAAUUGUACAGCUAAGUUAGAGUACUAUAUAUACAAUAUUAAUAUUGCAAAUCGGUCCCUAUACUCUUCAAAUGAAAAGAAACGAUAUAUAUUUUUUUAGAAAUAAAUUUAAGUAGAAAUAUAGACCAACUAUGCCAUGCAAGGCUUUUUUUCUUUUUUAAAUUUUUACUAAUUUUAUCUCGAAAAUAUUUAAAAUUUACAAAAGCAUUAGCUAAGCAUAUCUCAAAUGACAAACUUGGGUGAUAAAAAGAGAAAAGCUUUAAAAACAUUUUAUGCAUAUUUUUAAGCGAACCUUUUAAAUAAUGGAUAAAUAAAGGGAUAUGGUAAAAUAUUUGUGCAGGUCUAUGAAAAGGUGCAUGAGAAAGGCGCUUACACAAUGGGGGUGAUUGGUCCAUAGAGAUAUUGCACUUUUUGAUAUGCCCCUCUUCUUUGCCAAAGCACCACUUUGUUGAUGUAGUUUUCGACGAGAUGUUACUAAAACAAUUUGAUUUUCUCAAAAAAAAAAAAACAAUUUGAGCCCAAAUAUAAUUCACUGUAUUUUUAAUUUUUAAAAUUUGUUCCAAUUUAGAAUCUUUUUGGUCCACGCAUCAAUACCCUAUAUUGAACAUGAAUAUAGAGAAAAUUCAACUAAAAAUGUAAAGCAACUAAAACCUACAAAAAACUUUUUUAUUAGUUUCCUCUCGAACAUAUUUUAAUUUUAAAUGCUUUUGUACUAAAAAUUUCUAAAGUUUAUUACUCAUAAAUAACAAUAAAUAAUUUAUAAAACUAAUAUUAAAAUUUAAAAUUUUAAAAAUUAAAAAAUAAAAUGAAAAGUGUGGCCUGGUUUGGUAUAAUUAUCAUUUUUUUUUAAAUGCUUAUACUGUAUAGUUUGAUUUGUUGUAAGAAAUAUAUUUUUUGUUAUAGUUGAUUAGCUUGUAAUGCAUCCAACGGACAACUUAUAUUUUUUAAGAAAAUAUUAGAAGCAUAAUAAAAUAUUUUCAAAUUUUAUUUUUUACUGUUUUUUUUUUUAGAGAUAGGUAGCACGCUACCCGCUUCGUUUAUUUCAUUUAGAAAUAAACUUAGCUGGAAGUGUGAAUCAACUAAAAUUCGAACUUGGGUCUCGGGUAUCAAUUACCAAGCCCUUUGCCACUUGCUGCUCUAGGGACGGUCGGUAAUUUUAUUUUUUACUAUUAAAGUAAACACUUUGAAUGAAAGGAUUGCAACAAAAUAUCAUACACUCCUGCUCCUUUUGAUAUAUAAAAUUCUAUUUAAAAAAAUAAAAAAAUAAAUACGAAUGAAAAAGAAAGAAUGUGUUUACGGCAUCCCUUUCCUUUGGAGCUUCAAGAUCCCUUUGAGAGUUAAAGUUUUUAUUUGGCUCGCCGCGAGAAACAAAAUCCUCACAGCCAACACACUAUCCAAAAGGGGCUGGCAUGGUCCUUCGAUUUGCAUUUUCUGUUCGAUCAACGGGGAGAACUUAGAACACAUCCUUUUCUGUUGCAAUUAUGCAAAGGCUGUUUGGAACCUCCUGCUACAAUCCGCUCCAACAACUCAGCGCUUGUUGCUGACACAGCCAGGGGACUUAUUAGAGAGAUGGAAUCGUGCUCGAAACUUUGUGAGGGGCUGGGGGAAAAAAUUGUUCGAUCUAUGCUUCUCGACAGCUUGCUGGGAACUGUGGAAGGAGAGAAACAAUCGUAUAUUCAGCGUACAACUUACUCGAAGCGACGAAACGGGAAUGCGAGUGGCUAACACAAUGAAUCUUUGGCAACAUGCGCUAGGAGUAUGAUCACAUAAAAGGGUGAACUUCCCUGUGAGGCAAAUUUCCAUGUGGUCCCUUGGACACUUUCGGGUAGCUUUCUAUUUGUAUCUUUCUGUGUUUCUUCACGCACGCUUAUUCUUGUAUCUUUCUGCUUAAAGCCUCACGACAACUUGGUCGCAUCUGUACACCCCUCAACUUGUAACACAAAUAGGAUAAAUCCCUGUUUACUCAAAAAAGAAAAAGAAAGAGUGCCUUCUACGAAUUGAAGGCAUAAAUGAAGCCUUGAAACUGCUAGGAAUUGUUUUUGACCAACAUUUAAUCUAGAUGUAGUGAAAAAAAAUUACAGGAAAAAGAAGUAUUGUACCUGUAUCUCGAGAACGAGAAGUCGAUAAAUUUUCUCUGUCGCAAAAAGUUCCAGCUUAAACCAAUUUUGCAUUCGAAAGGCAAGAAAUACAAAUUCCACUUUCACAAUAAAUACAAAUUUUUUUUUCUUCUAUUAAUUUGUUACCUAAUUGAUUGGAUACAAAUGCUACCUAAUUAAUUAAAGAGAGAUAUGAAGCGAGAUAUGAAUUUUACCUAAUCAAAAUGAUACAUAUAAAUGAGACCGCUCUCAAUUAACAAAAAAGGAAUACAACUAGUCCCCCUUAAGGAGUGCUCUACCCACCCAUAUGAUGUUAUAGCCAGUCCAUAAAUAGUAUAAUAAGACCUAAAAUUGCAUAUAGCUCUCGAUCGGUUAGAUGGGGCUGGAUCACCCACCAAUGCUUUAGCAUCGAAUUCUUGUACAACUUCUUUCUGGAGGUUACGAAUUCUGGUGAAAGUUAAAGUUUUUGUAUGGCUAUUUCUGAAUCUUUAGAAGUGUGGGUACUAAGACGAACAAUUUCAGAUUUUUUUUUUUUACUAACAACAUUGUGAUCAUCUUUUCUGUAACUCUGUGUAUUUUUGCUAUACACAGAAGACUUUGUAAGGAUGGAUAGUUGCUCUACGAAGUUCGUGCUAUAAAGGGUGCCUAGAUGGAGUAAAGAUGAAAAUCUUGACAAAGUUUCAUCUGUCAACUAACCCAUCAUUAGAAUGUGCGAUUGAUUUAUAAUAAGAUAUAGAUACUUAGCAGAUAUAUAAUGCAUGAACUACGAUUUUUAUUAAUUCAUGGCAUGGGAAAAUUGGGUUUACAAUCAUCAAUUUUCUUGGUUUCCUUUUCAUAUAAAGCAGAGAACAAGUCAUAACAAAACUGCAAAUACAGUAUACGGUUGAAUAACUUUAAAAAAGGAUAUGAUGAUAUAUAUUAACAAUGUAUACAAGACAAUUUCCCCUCUAUCGUAUUAUCUAUACGAGAUACCAACUUUUAUUUUGAAGAAAAUGAGCAAAGUUAUUUUGUACUAUAAACAUGUGUGUAUGUUCAGCAGCUGCAUGAGAAGAACUCCGAACUCUGAACUCCAAACUGUAUUUGCAAAUGAAUAAAAUCUAAGCAAGAAGAAUUUUCACGAACUCUGAAAAUCUUCGGGCCGUUGCAAGCACUCCUUGGG